rnacentral:tRNA from 1 species
GUCCCAUUAGCUCAGCUGGAUAGAGCCACUCACUUCUAAUGAGUAGGUCAGAGGUUCAAAUCCUCUAUGGGACGCCA